rnacentral:rRNA from 1 species
AUUGAACGCUGGCGGCAGGCCUAACACAUGCAAGUCGAACGAGUGGCGGACGGGUGAGUAAUGUCUGGGAACCUGCCCGAUGGAGGGGGAUAACUACUGGAAACGGUAGCUACUCCCGCAUACCAUCGGAUGUGCCCAGAUGGGAUUAGCUAGUAGGUGGGGUAACGGCUCACCUAGGCGACGAUCCCUAGCUGGUCUGAGAGUCUGACCAGGCACACUGGAACUGAGACACGGUCCAGACUCCUACGGGAGGCAGCAGUGGGGAAUAUUGCACAAUGGGCGCAAGCCUGAUGCAGCCAUGCCGCGUGUAUGAAGAAGGCCUUCGGGUUGUAAAGUACUUUCAGCGAGGAGGCGUUACUCGCAGAAGAAGCACCGGCUAACUCCGUGCCAGCCGCCGCGGUAAUUC